rnacentral:rRNA from 1 species
UACGUAGGGUGCAAGCGUUAAUCGGAAUUACUGGGCGUAAAGCGCGCGUAGGCGGCCUCGUAAGUCCGUUGUGAAAGUCAAAGGCUCAACCUUUGAAAGCCGAUGGAUACUGUGAGGCUAGAGUCCGGAAGAGGCGAGUGGAAUUCCUGGUGUAGCGGUGGAAUGCGCAGAUAUCAGGAGGAACACCAAUAGCGAAGGCAGCUCGCUGGGACGGUACUGACGCUAAGGCGCGAAAGCGUGGGGAGCGAACGAGG